rnacentral:rRNA from 1 species
UACGUAGGGCGCAAGCGUUAUCCGGAAUUAUUGGGCGUAAAGAGCUCGUAGGCGGUUUGUCGCGUCUGCCGUGAAAGUCCGGGGCUCAACUCCGGAUCUGCGGUGGGUACGGGCAGACUAGAGUGAUGUAGGGGAGACUGGAAUUCCUGGUGUAGCGGUGAAAUGCGCAGAUAUCGAGAGGAACGCCAGUGGCGAAGGCGAGUCCCUGGACGAUACCUGACACUGAGGCACGAAAGCUAGGGGAGCAAACAGG